CAUAUACUCCCUCCGUCCGAAAAUACUUGUCAUCAAAAUGAAUAAAAGGGAAUGUAUCUAGACAUAUUUUAGUUCUAGAUACAUCCCUUUUUAUCCAUUUUGAUGACAAGUAUUUCCGGACGAAGGGAGUACUAU
rnacentral:pre_miRNA from 1 species